AUGCGUUGUUGGGUAGGGGAGCGUUCUGUAAGCCUGCGAAGGUGUGCUGUGAGGCAUGCUGGAGGUAUCAGAAGUGCGAAUGCUGACAUAAGUAACGAUAAAGCGGGUGAAAAGCCCGCUCGCCGGAAGACCAAGGGUUCCUGUCCAACGUUAAUCGGGGCAGGGUGAGUCGACCCCUAAGGCGAGGCCGAAAGGCGUAGUCGAUGGGAAACAGGUUAAUAUUCCUGUACUUGGUGUUACUGCGAAGGGGGGACGGAGAAGGCUAUGUUGGCCGGGCGACGGUUGUCCCGGUUUAAGCGUGUAGGCUGGUUUUCCAGGCAAAUCCGGAAAAUCAAGGCUGAGGCGUGAUGACGAGGCACUACGGUGCUGAAGCAACAAAUGCCCUGCUUCCAGGAAAAGCCUCUAAGCAUCAGGUAACAUCAAAUCGUACCCCAAACCGACACAGGUGGUCAGGUAGAGAAUACCAAGGCGCUUGAGAGAACUCG
rnacentral:rRNA from 1 species